AUCGGUUUAAGUUUUCAUUUCUAUUAUAAUAUUUAAUUAAAAAUAAAAAUAAUAUAAUUAAUAUAAAUAUAGUUUUUUUUUUCUGUUAGUAUUAUAUUAUAUUAUUCGCGAAGGGACGUGCAAUAUAAGCGUGUGUGUUUUUUUUUUUUUUUUUUUUUUUUUUUUUGUUACAGUCAGUUUUUAUCAUCUCGCGUUAUAACACUUAGGCGAUAGGUAUAGCGUUUAACGAAAUUCAUUAUUUUCUAGACGUCUUAGAGUAUAGUUUUGAAAAAAAAAAAACAAAAACAAAUUUUUUUUUUUUUUAAAUGUGCGGUUGGUUCCUAUACGAUACCUUGUCCGACCCUGCGUGUAGUACGACGAUAUUAUUAUUUAUAAUACGAUAAUAUAUAUCGUUUAUUCGGAACAUUUUCCAGCGG